UACGUAGGGGGCUAGCGUUGUCCGGAAUCAUUGGGCGUAAAGAGCGUGUAGGCGGUCCGGUAAGUCCGCUGUGAAAGUCGGGGGCUCAACCCUGGGAUGCCGGUGGAUACUGUCGAGCUCGAGUCCGGAAGAGGCGAGUGGAAUUCCUGGUGUAGCGGUGAAAUGCGCAGAUAUCAGGAGGAACACCAAUGGCGAAGGCAGCUCGCUGGGACGUGACUGACGCUGAGACGCGAAAGCGUGGGGAGCAAACAGG
rnacentral:rRNA from 1 species